GAUGAAGAACGUAGCGAAAUGCGAUAAGUAAUGUGAAUUGCAGAAUUCAGUGAAUCAUCGAAUCUUUGAACGCACAUUGCGCCCCUUGGUAUUCCGAGGGGCAUGCCUGUUCGAGCGUCAUUAUAACCCCUCAAGCUCAGCUUGGUGUUGGGGCCUGCUGCACUGGCAGCCCUUAAAAUCAGUGGCGGCGCCAUCUGGCUCUAAGCGUAGUAAUUCUUCUCGCUAUGGAGUCCUGGUGGAUGCUUGCCAUCAACCCCCAAUUUUUCUAUGGUUGACCUCGGAUCAGGUAGGGAUACCCGCUGAACUUAAGCAUAUCAAUAAGUGGAGGA
rnacentral:misc_RNA from 1 species